AAUGAAGAUGAGCUCCUACGUCUAGUGGAAUCCAAGAGGCCCUCCAAAGCUGAUUUGGUGAAAGCCUGCUCAGAUCUUGGAGUUUCAUCGGCUGGAACAGAGGCUGACUUGAUCAACCGUCUGCAGGAAAUGCUUCUGUACAAGGAUGUCUAUCCUAAGAUGUUUCUUAAGCUGCAGAAAACUGGAGGUGGCGUGCUGCACAUGGGCUGCACUCAUGCCGUCACCUACUAUCACUCCCCUCUGCUAUGGCAAGAGAGUGCCCGGGACCAUGCAGAUGGGCUCCUAAGUUUUGCCCAUCCCCCAAACAUUUA